UGGCUGUACAUGUUUCUUAUGUAACGUUAUACAUUUUAAUUUCAUGUAUUCAUAAUUUCAUACCCAAAGCCGCAGUCGAAAGGAGAUUCUCCGACUUCAAAAGAUGUGCAGACGAAGAAUGCAGUAUGCUCCUGUGCAGGGGGAAAGCUUUCAGCGAUUUCACCGGACCAGACUGUCGGUUUCUGUCAUUUAAAAAAGGAGAGACUAUAUAUGUCUACUAUAAACUCUCAGGCAGACGGACAGAUAUAUGGGCAGGGAGUGUUGGUAACCGCUUUGGUUACUUCAAUAAGGACCAACUUGUAAUCAAUCACAUAUACACUGAAAAAGAAUUGGAGGUUCCUUCUGAGGUAAAUUGAUUUAGGCCUAUUUCACUACUGCCAAUGCAUCAUCACUUAAACAAGUAUCUGGAAUGACUGAACUUCUUUCUGAAAUGGGUAGUAUGACUCAAACAAUGU